rnacentral:rRNA from 1 species
GAUGAACGCUGGCGGCGUGCCUAAUACAUGCAAGUCGAACGCUGGAGAUCUAGCUUGCUAGAUCGAAGGAGUGGCGAACGGGUGAGUAAUACAUAAGCAACCUACCCACGAAGACUGGGAUAAUCUCUGGAAACGGGGACUAAUACCGGAUAGGUAAUCGGAAGGCAUCUUCUGGUUAUUAAAGGUUAAAAACACUGGUGGAUGGGCUUAUGGCGCAUUAGUUAGUUGGUGAGGUAACGGCCCACCAAGACGAUGAUGCGUAGCCGGCCUGAGAGGGUGAACGGCCACAUUGGGACUGAGACACGGCCCAGACUCCUACGGGAGGCAGCAGUAGGGAAUUUUCGGCAAUGGGGGCAACCCCGACCGAGCAACGCCGCGUGAGUGAAGACGGCCUUCGGGGUGUAAAGCUCUGUUGUAAGGGAAGAACGGUAGAUAGAGAAUAUCUAAGUGACGGUACCUUACCAGAAAGCCACGGCUAACUACGUG